rnacentral:rRNA from 1 species
UCCUGGCUCAGAAUGAACGCUGGCGGCGUGGAUUAGGCAUGCAAGUCGAACGGGCCCGCAAGGGCUAGUGGCGACCUGGUCAGUACAAAUUGGGUACCUGCCUGGAAGUGGGGGAUAACUCCGAGAAAUCGGCGCUAAUACCGCAUGUGGACGAGAGUCUAAAGCAGCAAUGCGCUUCCAGAUGGGCCCGAUCCUCAUUAGCUUGUUGGUAGGGUAAUGGCCUACCAAGGCGACGAUGAGUAGGCGACGUGAGAGCGUGACCGCCGACACGAGGACUGAGAUACGGCCUCGACUCCUACGGGGGGCAGCAGUCUAGAAGCUUCGGCAAUGGGCGAAAGCCUGACCGAGCGACGCCGCGUGAGGGAUGAAGCCCCUUGGGGUGUAAACCUCUUUCGACCGGGAAGAAAGUCCCGAUGGUGAAUCGGGAUAUGACGGUACCGGGAGAAGAAGCACCGGCUAACUCCGUGCCAGCAGCCGCGGUAAUACGGGGGGUGCAAGCGUUAUUCGGAUUUAUUGGGCGUAAAGGGCGCGUAGGCGGUCUGGUAAGUCUGGUGUGAAAACGCUACCGCUCAACGGAGCGAUUGCACUGGAUACUGCUAGACUUGAGUGCGGGAGAGGUGAGCGGAAUGUGUGGUGUAGCGGUGGAAUGCGUAGAUAUCACACAGAAUACCCGUGGCGAAGGCGGCUCACUGGCCCGCAACUGACGCUGAGGCGCGAAAGCGUGGGGAGCAAACGGAUUAGAUACCCCGGUAGUCCACGCUGUAAACGGUGAAUACUAGGUGUGGGAGGUAUCGACCCCUUCCGUGCCGAAGUUAACACAUUAAGUAUUCCGCCUGGGAAGUACGGCCGCAAGGUUGAAACUCAAAGGAAUUGACGGGGGCCCGCACAAGCGGUGGAGCAUGUGGCUUAAUUCGACGCAACGCGAAGAACCUUACCCAGGCUUGAACUGCUGAGAAAACCCUGUGAAAGCAGGGCUUCCUUCGGGAGCUCAGUAGAGGUGCUGCAUGGCUGUCGUCAGCUCGUGUCGUGAGAUGUUGGGUUAAGUCCCGCAACGAGCGCAACCCUCGUCUUUAGUUACCAGCACGUAAUGGUGGGGACUCUAGAGAGACUGCCCCGGGUUAACGGGGAGGAAGGUGGGGACGACGUCAAGUCAUCAUGGCCCUUACGUCUGGGGCUACACACGUGCUACAAUGGCUGAGACAAUGCGUCGCUACUCUGCGAAGAGAUGCCAAUCGCACAAACUCGGCCCCAGUUCGGAUUGCAGUCUGCAACUCGACUGCAUGAAGCCGGAAUCGCUAGUAAUCGCUGAUCAGAACGCAGCGGUGAAUGAGUUCCCGGGCCUUGUACACACCGCCCGUCACGUCACGAAAGUCGGCUGUACCAGAAGCCGCUGUCGGAACCCGCAAGGGACCAAGGCGUCAAAGGUAUGGCUGGUAAUUGGGAGGAAGUCGUAACAAGGUAACC